rnacentral:rRNA from 1 species
CGAGGUUUUCCAAUAAGUCUUCUGGAAAGGAGCGCCAGAGAAGGUGAGAGCCCUGUGAUUGGAGAUUGCGUGACGAAGCGGGGGAGAGAACGAGAAGUGGCGUGGUAGGAGUAGAGCUUCUUGGGAUUGAAGCUCGAAGGGGCAGGUGCACUCCUGCUAAUGCUAAAUAUGAGUUGUAAACCGAUAGAGAACAAGUACUGUGAAGGAAAGAUGAAAAGGACCGCUGGCGCGGAGUGAAAAGAACCUGAAACCGGACAAGGGGAACCGAAGGAAAGGAGU